rnacentral:rRNA from 1 species
AGAGCGAACGCUGGCGGCAGGCCUAAUACAUGCAAGUCGAACGGAUCCUUCGGGAUUAGUGGCGGACGGGUGAGUAACACGUGGGGACGUACCCUUUGGUUCGGAACAACUCAGGGAAACUUGAGCUAAUACCGAAUGUGCCCUUCGGGGAAAAGAUUUAUCGCCAUUGGAGCGGCCCGCGUCUGAUUAGCUAGUUGGUAGGGUAAAGGCCUACCAAGGCUACGAUCAGUAGCUGGUCUGAGAGGAUGAUCAGCCACACUGGGACUGAGACACGGCCCAGACUCCUACGGGAGGCAGCAGUAGGGAAUCUUGCGCAAUGGGCGAAAGCCUGACGCAGCCAUGCCGCGUGAAUGAUGAAGGUCUUAGGAUUGUAAAAUUCUUUCAGCGGGGACGAUAAUGACGGUACCCGCAGAAGAACGCCCGGCUAACCUUCGCGCCAGCAGCCGC